CCUACGGGAGGCAGCAGUAGGGAAUAUUGGUCAAUGGAUGCAAGUCUGAACCAGCCAUGCCGCGUGCAGGAAGAAGGCCCUAUGGGUUGUAAACUGCUUUUGCCAGGGGAUAAAAUGGGCGUGCGCGCCUAAUUGAAGGUACCUGGUGAAUAAGCCACGGCUAACUACGUGCCAGCAGCCGCGGUAAUACGUAGGUGGCAAGCGUUGUCCGGAUUUAUUGGGUUUAAAGGGUGCGUAGGCGGUCCUAUAAGUCAGUGCUGAAAUAUCCCGGCUUAACCGGGAGGGUGGCAUUGAUACUGCAGGACUUGAGUAAAGUUGAGGUUGGCGGAAUUGACGGUGUAGCGGUGAAAUGCUUAGAUAUCGUCAAGAACACCUAUUGCGAAGGCAGCUAACUAAGCUUUAACUGACGCUGAGGCGCGAAAGUGUGGGGAUCAAACAGGAUUAGAUACCCUGGUAGUCCACACUGUAAACGUUGAUUACUCGAUGUUGGCGAUACACAGCCAGCGUCUUAGCGCAAGCGAUAAGUAAUCCACCUGGGGAGUACGCCGGCAACGGUGAAACUCAAAGGAAUUGACGG
rnacentral:rRNA from 1 species